GUCUAGGGUAACCUAGUGGGCAUGGUAUCUGCCCAAUUAGCGUAACACUGUGGGUUCGAUUCCCAUCCCUGGACA
rnacentral:tRNA from 1 species